ACGGUGGGCCGAGAUGACAACCUAAUCGCCGUCUACACCAUGCCCAGCGCAGAGGACUCGGACGCCACCAAGAUGCCAGCAAAUAAGGCUCCGAGAGCCAUAAAGGAUAUUGAAAUCCACUCAACUCAACCUCGCUCAAGCAAUGACGUCACUACUACACAAACGAAUGCAAAGAUGGCUCACUCAUGUGCCGCCAUUCUUGCCAUAUGAGCUGCCGCAGCCAUUUUCAAAUGCUACCACCACUUCAACAACAACAACAACAACAGUCGCUCAUAGCCAACAAAACUGGCAGUCGCCAUUAAAAAGACGCUGCAAUGACUGACGAAAAUGACGACGCCACUAAGUUUAUAUUGAAAACAACUAAGUUUAAAACAGCCAACUAAUAGUACAGUCACUAAGCUAAUAUAGUGCCACUGCUGGACAAGCUUAACAAGUAUCCAGCAGUGAAAAGAUUUAGCACUAAAGCUACUGGUGGUGCUGGGAAAGGACUUAGAAUUCUAUGCCAUGACAUAGACACAUAUAAUGCAGUACUGGGAGUACUGCAUCGAGAAAAGCUGCAACUGCGCACUCACCAGCCACGCCAGUUGAAAGGGUAUCGAGUGGUGCUAAAACACUUGCAUGAAGCACAGAUUUAUAUCGAAGCCACUUAAUCUGCUUGAGAUCGAGCUUCAGCCAAAGCCAGAUGGCAGCCAUGAGGCUGUUCUCGAUCUCAAGCAGAUAGCAAUGCAAGCAGUCAGUGUGGAGCGUAUGGCCAAGCCCAUCGAUCCGGCCCAGUGCCAUCGAUGCCAGUCUGUAGGCGGCCAUUUAGAUGCAUGAAGUGUGCCGGCGAGCACGCUUCAACCGAGUGCCCAAAAGGCGGAGACGAGGCGGCAACUUGCGUGAAUUGUGGCGGCGCACACGUUAGCUGCUUUAAAGGCCGGACAGCGUGUCAAACUGCUUGGCGCAGCAAAUUCAACAAACACAACAAACAAAUACGCAACAGGCUGUGAACAGAAAGCUCACCUACAGCAGCGUCGCGCGUAGAAAAACAGCCGCCACAGGCAAAAACAACACAAAUGACAAUAACAACGAGUAAGAAAGCUCUAGUCGAGACUGCCCGGCUACGAGAGCGCCUGAUCCCAUGGAGCAACUGAUAUUUCUAUCAUUUUUACAUACUUAGCUUCUUUUCGGCAUACACAAAAAACAGCACAUGCACACACACACAGUGUGGACUUAAUAUGGGGACUUAAGUGCUGACAUUUCCAUCAAAUCAAAUUAAUUUCAACAAAUUGAUUAAAGCAUGCAAUUUGCCCAGUAAUUUCAAUCAGAUUUCAAUCAUUUUGAACGAAAAAAUAUUGGUAAGCGAAAAUUAAAAGCCAACACAGUCCCAACCAUACAUUUGGGUGACCCAAACUUCUUUUCAAAUAUUUCAGCUUUCAAAAUCAGAGGAAGAAGUAAUAGAGAAUUUCUUGAGCUUCGACAACGAUUUAAGAAAUGAAUUGUGGCACGAUUUAGCCGCUAAUAGGAGUUCCCUUUGUUUAAAUUGUAUAAAGAGGGAACCAAAUGAGGUAGUUUAUAGGAAAAAAGUUAUGAUAUUGGAAUAGAUCUGAAAAAAAAAAUGGCAGGAAAGUUCUAUUAAGUUGAAAAAAGGUUUAUUCCUUUCAAGCGGGCUUUUCAUUUAGAGUUAGGAAUAUCAAGAGACCAGCUUAUUGUCUUCACGACAAUUAAUAAUUUAUCCCAUGUUUCCGAACAGUCGAAAGUUUUAUGUAAAAUGUUUUUUAAAAAAUAAUCAUUUAUAUUAUAACAAAACAUAAAUUUUUACUCUGCAGCGCGCUUUAAUAUACGUAGCUUACAAAA